rnacentral:rRNA from 1 species
GACGUAGGGCGCAAGCGUUAUCCGGAAUUAUUGGGCGUAAAGAGCUCGUAGGCGGUUUGUCGCGUCUGCCGUGAAAGUCCGGGGCUCAACUCCGGAUCUGCGGUGGGUACGGGCAGACUAGAGUGAUGUAGGGGAGACUGGAAUUCCUGGUGUAGCGGUGAAAUGCGCAGAUAUCAGGAGGAACACCGAUGGCGAAGGCAGGUCUCUGGGCAUUAACUGACGCUGAGGAGCGAAAGCAUGGGGAGCGAACGGG